ACAAAUUUUAUUUUCUUUCCGAGAAAAAAUAGAAAUAUUAUAAAAGAAUGCAAUUUUUUAGUAGAUUCACUGUUUCAUCUAUAUAGAUUUGAGAAAAAUAAAGAUUUUGAAACAUCCUUACUAGAAACAAAAUAAAAGCAACAAUGCAUUUGAAUAUGAACAUGAACUUGGGAGAAAAACAAAAAACAAAAAACAAAAAAAGACACCAUUCAUUACUUU
rnacentral:lncRNA from 1 species